rnacentral:rRNA from 1 species
GGCUCGAAAGAGAGCCGUAACACAGGUGCUGCAUGGCUGUCGUCAGCUCGUGUCGUGAGAUGUUCGGUUAAGUCCGCUAACGAGCGCAACCCUCACUGUGUGUUACAAGUGUCACACGGGUACUGCCGGGUCUUAAAGCCGGAGGAAGGUGGGGAUGACGUCAAGUCAGCAUGGCCUUUAUGUCCUGGGCUACACACACGCUACAAUGGCCAACACAAUAGGUUGCUAAGCCGCGAGGCGGAGCCAAUCCUCAAAGUUGGUCUCAGUUCAGAUUGCAGGCUGCAACCCGCCUGCAUGAAGAUGGAGUUGCUAGUAACCGCAGGUCAGCUAUACUGCGGUGAAUACGUUCCCGGGGCUU